rnacentral:lncRNA from 1 species
GUGUCUUUUAGCAAGUUAUUAUAUUAGCAUUUGUUGAAAGACACCAACUAAUUUUUAUGAAGGUGUCUUUUAGCAAAGUUAUAACUAAAAAGUGAAAAUACGUUUUCAGAUGUGGGUUGUUGAAAAACACCUUCAUAAAUUGCUUCUAGCAUAACUAUAUAUAUAUAUAUAUCUUCUGAUCCAAUCGCAACCUAUUAUAUUUACAACAACAUUUUCUCUCAAGAUGGAGAAGAGGUGUGCAUGUCCAUAGACAACAUAUUUUUCCAAUAUAAAUUUGUGAAACUUUGAUAUGAGAAUUGUGUAGGUGUCCUUUUGACAUGUGUGUUUUGGA